GUGCUUGCUUCGGCAGCACAUAUACUAAAACUGGAACGAUACCGAGAAGGUGAGCAUGGCCCUACGCAGGGAUGACAUGCAAAUUCCAUAUUUUUUAAAUACUGUA
rnacentral:snRNA from 2 species